GUCUCAAGACUAAGCCAUGCAUGUCUAAGUAUAAACGCUUCUAUACUGUGAAACUGCGAAUGGCUCAUUAAAUCAGUUAUAGUUUAUUUGAUGGUUUCUUACUACUUGGAUAACCGUGGUAAUUCUAGAGCUAAUACAUGCACAAAGUCCCGACUCUUCGGAAGGGAUGUAUUUAUUAGAUCCAAAACCAAUGCGAGUCUCUCGGGGCUCGGUUUCUUGGUGAUUCAUGAUAACUGCUCGAACCGUAUGGCCCUUGCGCCGACGGUGCUUCAUUCAAAUUUCUGCCCUAUCAACUUUCGAUGGUACGGUAGUGGCCUACCAUGGUUGCAACGGGUGACGGAGAAUUAGGGUUCGAUUCCGGAGAGGGAGCCUGAGAAACGGCUACCACAUCCAAGGAAGGCAGCAGGCGCGCAAAUUACCCAAUCCCGACUCGGGGAGGUAGUGACAAUAAAUAACAAUGCCGGGCUAUUGUAGUCUGGCAAUUGGAAUGAGUACAAUCUAAAUCCCUUAACGAGGAACAAUUGGAGGGCAAGUCUGGUGCCAGCAGCCGCGGUAAUUCCAGCUCCAAUAGCGUAUAUUAAAGUUGUUGCAGUUAAAAAGCUCGUAGUUGGAUUUCGGGGUGGCCUGCCUGGUCCACCGCAAGGUGAGUACUGGUCAGCCGCCCUUCCUCUCGAAAGCCCCGACUGCUCUUCACUGCAGUGGUCGGGUAGUUCGGGACGUUUACUUUGAAAAAAUUAGAGUGUUCAAGGCAGGCUAUCGCCUGAAUACAUUAGCAUGGAAUAAUGGAAGAGGACCUCGGUCCUAUUUUGUUGGUUUCUAGGGCCGAAGUAAUGAUUAAGAGGGACAGUUGGGGGCAUUCGUAUUUAAUUGUCAGAGGUGAAAUUCUUGGAUUUAUGAAAGACGAACUAGUGCGAAAGCAUUUGCCAAGGAUGUUUUCAUUAAUCAAGAACGAAAGUUAGGG
rnacentral:rRNA from 1 species